rfam:Brassica oleracea var. oleracea cultivar TO1000 chromosome C4, whole genome shotgun sequence
AUAUUCACUAACAAAAUAAUUAAUGCACCGGAUUUCAUCGGAACUCCUCAGUGAAGCGUGUUUAGGCGAGAGUAAUAUUAGAAUGGAUGACUUCCUAGAAAGUUCUCGUGUUACAUCCU